rnacentral:rRNA from 1 species
CCUACGGGGGGCUGCAGUGGGGAAUAUUGGACAAUGGGGGCAACCCUGAUCCAGCCAUGCCGCGUGUGUGAAGAAGGCCCUCGGGUUGUAAAGCACUUUCAGUGAGGAAGAACGCCUGGUGGUUAAUACCCAUCAGGAAAGACAUCACUCACAGAAGAAGCACCGGCUAACUCCGUGCCAGCAGCCGCGGUAAUACGGAGGGUGCGAGCGUUAAUCGGAAUUACUGGGCGUAAAGCGCGCGUAGGUGGCUUGAUAAGCCGGUUGUGAAAGCCCCGGGCUCAACCUGGGAACGGCAUCCGGAACUGUCAAGCUAGAGUGCAGGAGAGGAAGGUAGAAGUCCCGGUGUAGCGGUGAAAUGCGUAGAGAUCGGGAGGAAUACCAGUGGCGAAGGCGGCCUUCUGGACUGACACUGACACUGAGGUGCGAAAGCGUGGGUAGCAAACAGGAUUAGAUACCCCAGUAGUC